rnacentral:lncRNA from 1 species
UACUGAUGACGAAGGAGUCAAAGAAGCUGAUGUUGUUUCUUCUGGGAGGGAAGGGGAACGAGAGAAAAUGGUUGAGCCCUUUUGAAGUCUAACUUUAGUCUUUUCUUGUAUACACAGAUUGUGUAUUAUUGUAGUUCAGACUAGAAGCCAAAAGAAGAUUCUAAACCCAGCUAGUAAUUAAUCCACGGCUGGAAUUGGACUUCAGGUUUUGGGGAAAUGACUCCAAGAAAUCAACAGUGAAAAACAAACAAAAAAACAAUGUUAAAAAAUCAAAGACUCCCUAGCCAUGUCUGUUGCCAGUGUGGGGACAGAGCCCUGGGCAGUUAUGGAGGAUCUAAAGUGUGCAGCGGAGCUCUGGAGCGAUCCUUGGCAAGCACAACGAUGUGCCAAGCAGUGUUUGCUGUGCGGAUAUUUUUAGAGCCGGCACUGAGAGCUCCUUAGCUAAGACCCAUUGGGCUUUCCUCACCAAAAAAGGAAGAGUUGUUCCAUUAGCAUCACAGAGUUACCUCUGCACAUCAGACUUCAGAUGUUGAACAAACUUGAAACAUAUAAGGGGAGCCCAGGCGUCUGAGGCAAUGGCGGGCCACCACUGGGCAAGUGAAAAGGCUCCGGGGAGGUCUUUCGCUCACGCCACGGACAGGGGAGAAAAGAUGAGCUUUCUCUGCAUCUCCCCCUCUUUCCCUCUGAAAUAUCUAAAGUCCCUGGAAGGCUUUGCUCCUUUAUGAAUUGUUAAGGGAAAGUGAAAUUGGGUUUCUCCAGUUUUGCUUUACAAUGUAUGAGAAGAGGUUUGAAAAGGACUCUGGGUGGGGUUUUAGCCUUUGUUUUGCUUUAAGAGGGUUCUGAGAGGGAGUGUUCUGUGCACGUAUUUCACCCCCUACCCGCAACAGCUCACGAACAUCUUCCUCAGCCCCACCCUCAAAUAGGCUCAGUGGGAAAAAGAGAGACAGCAUCAAACAGGAUGCUAGAACGGGCUCCCGGGAGCACCUGCGCACAUGCUCAUGGAGAGAGGAUGCUCUGCUAACCUCAGGAAGAAUGCAUGGGCUGCAGGACCUCCCAUCUCCAGAGCUGCACCAUCCCCUUAACCUGUUCCUUUAAGUGCAGCACAGGAAGUAUAUACUCAUGCUGACUGCUGCAAGGAGGAAAAGCUGCAUUUGCCAUUUGGGCCAAUAUUUGAAAAUAGUUGACUGGCUUUAGAAUAUUUAUUGAAAUAGACCUGGCCUUCAGACUCUAUAACAAUACAGGUGACUCUUUUACAUAUACAUGGAAUUAGGUGAGCUUGGUAAAGCUAUUUAGAAGUAAAGAAAGUGGCUUCCCUUUUGGGUUUCGAGAUGGUGCAAUCACCUUCCUUUCUAGGAAGUGCUGUUAGGAAGGAUGUUCAUUGAAAAUGGUAUUGAAGCAGGUUGUGUGUAUGUGUGUGUGUGUAUGUGUGUGUUUCUCACUGGAGCACAGUAUGUAGGCACUGUACCAACCACUGCCCUUCUCUCCUCCAACCUGUUUUGGAUUUUCCACUUUGCACGGUUGAAAUGUUUUAUAGGUAUGCAUUCACACUUUUCUUCUUUUGAGAACUAAGACUUCCAAGAGAGCAUCCUCCUACUUACCGGUCUCUCCUCCCUGGAAGACUCUGAAUUAGUUAGACAUUGUGUAGUAGGAAGUCCAUAGUUAGUUUGGAAUCACCAAUUCCGCCCAGGCAGCACCAGGGAAGGUCAGAACUAUGCUCCUCCAAACAGCUCUUCUUUACUUUUUAUGCAAAGCUCCUGGCUGAGUGCAUUCUGCUGGGACAGCUCAGAGGUUUGUCCAGACAUGCAGAACAGUACCUUGUGUAGUCUGUUAUUUUUGGAAAUUUCAGAUAUUCAGGGACAAGGAGCUUGCUGACUAAACAGAAGGCUUCUAAGCAGUUGAUUUUUUUUUUAAUCUAUUAAAUGAUUGGGAACUGAUCUUGAGGAAGGGAAAUAAAAACCCCUGCCAUUACAUUUCCAAAAUGUCUUUUUAAAGGUUUUAUACAUGAUCCCAGACACUGCUCCUGUGUAAUCAUUAUCCUUUGUUGUAGGAUCCUUAAGAAGAUAAUCAAAAUAUCCUAAAGGAAAGCAUCACCAUUCUCCUAUGUUAAGUAAUUUAAAACAAAUAUUUAAUAGCUUACAUGUAUUUUUAAGUGACUCUUAUUUUUUAAAUACAAAACAACAUUUAGAGGCUGGGUGUAAUUCAGUGGUACAGAAUUGUCCUAGAAUUUAGGAUUCUCUAGCUUUGGUCCCCAGCACUGCCAAAAACCAAUAUAAAGGUAGCAGAGAAGAAGCCAGUUUCAAGAAUGGUCCACAGGGUGAGCAUGCAUAGUGUUAAGAUUAAGGCUGAAUGUCGAUAGGUUACCAUCACAUCUUUACUAGUGCAUAGGAGGAAUACAGUGUGUCUUGUUUUCUUAUUCUUGGCAUUAAUCUAAUAUACUGAUAAACACUCACCUUCUGAGUAGAAUGGCUUGUAUUGGCAGUGUUUGUGUUAGCAAUCUAGCCUUUGUAAUGUGAACUUUCAACCCUAGCAUUCUUGCUUUGGGGUCUUCUUCCUUUCUUUUUGGUAAGUUUUCUGAAGUUGGAAUAUAGUGUGUUAGAGGUGUGUGUAAAACUAUUUUGCAUGGUUUUCUUUUCCUUUAUUUUCCUUUUCUUUCUUUUUGGUCCGUGUGGAUUCUUUUUAGCAAAAUAAAAUUCAGAAAAAAAAAAGAUAUACAAAUGGC